rnacentral:rRNA from 1 species
AUUGAACGCUGGCGGCAGGCUUAACACAUGCAAGUCGAGCGGGGUGAUGGUGCUUGCACUAUCACUUAGCGGCGGACGGGUGAGUAAUGCUUAGGAAUCUGCCUAUUAGUGGGGGACAACAUCUCGAAAGGGAUGCUAAUACCGCAUACGUCCUACGGGAGAAAGCAGGGGAUCACUUGUGACCUUGCGCUAAUAGAUGAGCCUAAGUCGGAUUAGCUAGUUGGUGGGGUAAAGGCCUACCAAGGCGACGAUCUGUAGCGGGUCUGAGAGGAUGAUCCGCCAGACUGGGACGGAGACACGGGCCAGACUCCUACGGGAGGCAGCAGUGGGGAAUAUUGGACAAUGGGGGGAACCCUGAUCCAGCCAUGCCGCGUGUGUGAAGAAGGCCUUAUGGUUGUAAAGCACUUUAAGCGAGGAGGAGGCUCUUUUGGUUAAUACCCAAGAUGAGUGGACGUUACUCGCAGAAUAAGCACCGGCUAACUCUGUGCCAGCCGCCGCUGUAA